rnacentral:rRNA from 1 species
UGACCUAGCAAUAGGUUGAUGGCGACCGGCGCACGGGUGAGUAACACGUAUCCAACCUGCCGUCUACUCUUGGACAGCCUUCUGAAAGGAAGAUUAAUACAAGAUGGCAUCAUGAGUCCGCAUGUUCACAUGAUUAAAGGUAUUCCGGUAGACGAUGGGGAUGCGUUCCAUUAGGUUGUUGGUGAGGUAACGGCCCACCAAGGCGACGAUCGGUAGCCGGACUGAGAGGUUGAACGGCCACAUUGGGACUGAGACACGGCCCAGACUCC